GUGCCAGCCGCCGCGGUAAUACCAGCCCCGCGAGUGGUUGGGACGUUUACUAGGCCUAAAGCGCCUGUAGCCGGCCCUGUAAGUCCCUCCCUAAAGGCCCGGGCUCAACCCGGGAACCGGGAGGGAUACUGCAGGGCUAGGGGGCGGGAGAGGCGGGGGGUACUCCCGGAGUAGGGGCGAAAUCCGUAGAUCCCGGGAGGACCACCAGUGGCGAAGGCGCCCCGCUAGAACGCGCCCGACGGUGAGAGGCGAAAGCGGGGGCAGCAAAAGGGAUUAGAUACCCCUGGAGUCCCGGCUGUAAACGAUGCCGGCUAGGUGUCGCGUGGGCUUAGAGCCCACGGGUCGCCGCAGGGAAGCCGUUAAGCCGGCCGCCUGGGGAGUACGGCCGCAAGGUGCAAACUUAAAGGAAUAGGCGGGGGAGCACCACAAGGGGUGGAACUGCGGCUCAAUUGGAGUCAACACCUGGAACGCUUACCGGGGGAGACCGCAGAUGACGGCCAGGCUAACGACCUUGCCUGACUCGCGGAGAGGAGUGCAUGGCCGUCGCCAGUUCGUGUUGUGAAAUGUCCGGUUAAGUCCGGCAACGAGCGAGACCCCCCCCCCUAGUUGGUACCCUGGCUCCGCGGCCAGGGCCACACUAGGGGGACUGCCGCCGUAAGGCGGAGGAAGGAGGGGGCCACGGCAGGUCAGCAUGCCCCGAAACCCCCGGGCCGCACGCGGGUUACAAUGGCAGGGACAGCGGGAUCCUGCCCCGAGAGGGGUGGGCAAUCCCUAAACCCUGCCUCAGUUGGGAUCGAGGGCUGCAACUCGCCUCGUGAACGAGGAAUCCCUAGUAACCGCAGGUCACCAUCUGCGGUGAAUACGUCCCUGCUCCUUGCACACACCGCCCGUC
rnacentral:rRNA from 1 species